rnacentral:pre_miRNA from 1 species
GUGCCUGGAACUUUGUCUCAACCUGAACAAUUAGGUACAGGUGAGCAAAGUUUCAGGUGUGU